GAUGAACGCUGGCGGCGUGCUUAACACAUGCAAGUCGAGCGAGAUCUUCUGGGACGAAACUUCGGUCUAGCGAAGGAAGUGGAAGCGGCGGACGGGUGAGUAACGCGUAGGCAACCUGCCCCAUACAGAGGGAUAGCCUCGGGAAACCGGGAUUAAAACCUCAUAACGCGAUCUGGUCACAUGGCCGGAUCGCCAAAGAUUUAUCGGUAUGGGAUGGGCCUGCGUCUGAUUAGCUAGUUGGUGAGGUAACGGCUCACCAAGGCGACGAUCAGUAGCCGACCUGAGAGGGUAAUCGGCCACAUUGGAACUGAGACACGGUCCAAACUCCUACGGGAGGCAGCAGUGGGGAAUAUUGCACAAUGGGCGAAAGCCUGAUGCAGCAACGCCGCGUGAGUGAUGAAGGCCUUUGGGUCGUAGAGCUCUGUCCUAAGGGAAGAAACAAAUGACGGUACCUUAGGAGGAAGCCCCGGCUAACUACGUGCCAGCCGCCGCGGUAACAC
rnacentral:rRNA from 1 species